rnacentral:misc_RNA from 1 species
CGAAUAACAUCAUUACCCGCCGUAGUCCUAUACCCCAGCACGUAGCAUAUAGUUUUCAUCCAGAGUCCAGAUCCCACCGGCAAAACUCUGUCUAACACAGGAUGACUUGGAAUUAGAGUCCGUAUAGCAGAAAGAGCAGCAGGGCUGUCCUUGGGUAUCCGUUGCUCAGCCAAGUCAUCAAAUAAAAAGGAUGAUUGCGCAAGUGGACCAUGUGUCAAUCUGUGGGUUUCUGCAUGCCAAGAGCCAGACCCUCCCUCCUGGCUCUGCUGGCCCAACCCACCAAGGGAUGCUUUAUUUAAAUAGUUCCAAGUAGGGGAGACCA